AGAAUAAUAAGGCAUAUUCGCCGAUUCAAAUGCAUUAGAUUCACGUACGUGUGCCUGUUUUUUUGGGUCUAAAAUACGAGUGCAUGUUUUCACCUAUAACAUGAGAAAAAGAAGAACAAAAUUUAGGUUAUUAAAUUCACUUCAACUUUUAUAACCAACCAAAAUACCAUGUAAGACUAAUUAAAAAUGUAAUAAAAUUCGAAAAAAAAAUGGUUGAAAAAACAACACAAUGUUAACGCCGUCAGUAAAAACCAAAACUCUAAAAAUCUAAAAUUUAAACUCCAACCCAAAAACCUAAACUUUAAACCCCAAAUCCUAAAUCAUAAACUCUAAAUCUUAAAUUCUAAACCCAAAUCGUAAACCCUAAAUCCAAAACUCUAAACCAUAAAUCCUAAAUCUU
rnacentral:lncRNA from 1 species